UGGGGUGACAGCCAAUGUCAAGACGUAUACAAAAAAGGUUUUAUUUGCAAGAGAAAAAACGGCACAGAUAGUUUUACAACAACCCCAGCCUCUACUAUGCCUACAGUGAGAGGUGGAUGUUUGGGAGGAUUCGUCAGAUCUACAUUCAAUAGUAAGUGUUAUGGAUUUUUUAAAACACAGAAAACUUGGAGCCAAGCAAAAGCAACUUGUGAAGCUCAUGGAAAGACUUAUAGUUUGGUCACUAUACAGAGCAAAUUAGAACAAAUGUUUAUAAGCAGUAUGUUGUAUGACAGCCUUGAGAUGGUCUGGAUAGGACUGACAGA